rnacentral:rRNA from 1 species
AUUGAACGCUGGCGGCAGGCCUAACACAUGCAAGUCGAACGGUAGCACAGAGAGCUUGCUCUCGGGUGACGAGUGGCGGACGGGUGAGUAAUGUCUGGGAAACUGCCCGAUGGAGGGGGAUAACUACUGGAAACGGUAGCUAAUACCGCAUAACGUCGCAAGACCAAAGUGGGGGACCUUCGGGCCUCACACAAUCGGAUGUGCCCAGAUGGGAUUAGCUAGUAGGUGGGGUAAUGGCUCACCUAGGCGACGAUCCCUAGCUGGUCUGAGAGGAUGACCAGCCACACUGGAACUGAGACACGGUCCAGAGUCCUACGGGAGGCAGCAGUGGGGAAUAUUGCCAAAUGGGCGCAAGCCUGAUGCAGCCAUGCCGCGUGUAUGAAGAAGGCCUUCGGGUUGUAAAGUACUUUCAGCGGGGAGGAAGGCGGUGAGGUUAAUAACCUUGCCGAUUGACGUUACCCGCAGAAGAAGCACCGGCUAACUCCGUGCCAGCCGCCGCCGUAA